CUGACUGCACCACCCAGGCACCCCAGGGCCAUUUACAUUUCAAACAACAGUUAUGAGCCUUUUAGUCUCUUGGAAUCUUAGAGUGCUUUCCUGUCAAGUGACUGGCCAUAUCCAGGUGGCACAUGAUCUCCUAAGGAUGACAGUUGGUAAACUCUGAUACUUGGUGCCAUUUUUAAGCAAAGUAGCAUAAGCUGUAAUUAGCUGGUAGUUUAUGCCACGGCCAGGUGUUUUCUUGGCCCCCAACCUCCUCCUGAUUUGUCCCGAGGCCCCUUGCUUAGAAAACAUAGUCUGGAAAUAGGACCUCAGAGGCCCUGGUUCUCUUCCCACCACCCCCUCCAGUCCCUGGGACCGUGAGCUCAGAGAAGUGGCUCAUGACCAGAUAGCACUGUUGAGUGCUGUGCACACACCCAUGAGGCUGGCAUGGUGGUGCUGUGCUUUGAAGAAGGACGGGGGUUCUCUAUACAGUCGAUUUGGUUCCCGCCAUUGCUCUCCAUCCUAAUAAAGUAAUCUCCUGCCGGUGGACCAUGCAGAAUGCUGACAGGAGCAAACUGGAUGCCUCAUCUGGGAAGCUGACAAAUUAAUAAUCUUCAAAUUGGCUCAUAUUCUUUGAGGCUCAACAAAGGAGAAUUACUGCAACUCUGAAGCUUAAACAUUCUUUCCCGGUAUUUUCCAUGAGUGCUGGUGACUUGGCUUCCUGAAGAUCCAGGGAAUGAAACGUAUUUGAGCCUUGGAAGGUGACGGCAGGACCGCUCUUGUCAGGCAUUCAAAUGAAGAAGGUUGUAUUUGAGGAAGGUGACUCUGGACACAGCAGGGCAGGCUUCUGUAGAAUGCCAAGGUCUCCCUUUGGUUUGUGGUUCAGUGCGACAUCUUAGGUGAAAUGGCAGACAAUAAACAUUUUUAAAAGGGGUGGGCUCUGUGGUUCUUAAUGGAAUUCCACAAAAUUAAAUGUGUGUAUACAAUAAAUACUCGUAUCGGUGUCUCUUUGAGAAUUGAAUUAAAGCUAUGUGGCUUCUCCCCAGAAAAAUUCACAAAUACAGGAAAUUUAUCUUACUAUUUUCAGGGAAUUUAUGGAUUCUCCAAAGCUGAAAUUUCCUAAUAAAGGGUUUUUGUUAAUGCACGGGCAAAAACCCUGGGUCUCAUGUCCCUUUCUUUGCUAAGAUUCUCGUUGUGUUUUUCUCACUUAAAAAGAAACUGCAAGUCAAAUUUUAUUAUAGUCAAUAUUCGACCAUAAAUAUUUCUUUAUAAUCACCACUCCCUGAAAUUUCUCAGCUCAUUUUGUCAAGACUGUACCCAAUGAUAAAAAGGUCUGGUAUAGAAAAGCGGUUUCGUGUCAUUAUUAUAGUUCAUAGGAGCAGGGUUUGAUAUAUAAUAACAGGAAAAUUAUUAUGUGGACGUGCAUUAAUUUAUUUCGAAGCUUAACUCCAAUACGAGUAAAUGUUUUUUUCAUUCCUCACUGGUACAGGGUGGAGAUAUACUUUUUUCUCUCAAUUUGUUUUUCCACAUCUAUUUAGGGCAACCAAAAUAGGAAAGCUACCACACAGGUCCUCACAUUCAUUUCCUCCACCCAUUUGCUGUGCUCUGUCCCAGGUCUGAUGAAUAUAACUUUUUAAACAUGUCAUUUAUUUUUAUUUUUAUUUUAGCCUAACUGUCCCUUCAGAAACGCCAAGGGAAAAUAUUUUUAGCUUAACUAACAAAACAAACAUGUUUAAACAAGUAACACCCAAAGCAUUUAGGUAGAAUUGGUGUUUUUGGUGUUCCGCUGUUUUAAUGGUGAGCCAGUAAGAUACAAGCAGCAACAGAAUUUUUUCUCGAUCCCUAGGUGUAUGACUUUCUUUCGGAAAUAAAAACAAAGAGAAGAACUGAUAAUGACUUUUACGUGGGAACUAAACUUUCUGUUGUUUUGAAAGGUGUUUGUACGCUAGAUGACAUGCUGCCUUUUUUCCCUCCGUUUGUAAUCACUAUUUAUAAA